rnacentral:rRNA from 2 species
UAGGGAAUCUUCGGCAAUGGACGAAAGUCUGACCGAGCAACGCCGCGUGAGUGAAGAAGGUUUUCGGAUCGUAAAACUCUGUUGUUAGAGAAGAACAAGGACGUUAGUAACUGAACGUCCCCUGACGGUAUCUAACCAGAAAGCCACGGCUAACUACGUGCCAGCAGCCGCGGUAAUGCGUAGGUGGCAAGCGUUGUCCGGAUUUAUUGGGCGUAAAGCGAGCGCAGGCGGUUUCUUAAGUCUGAUGUGAAAGCCCCCGGCUCAACCGGGGAGGGUCAUUGGAAACUGGGAGACUUGAGUGCAGAAGAGGAGAGUGGAAUUCCAUGUGUAGCGGUGAAAUGCGUAGAUAUAUGGAGGAACACCAGUGGCGAAGGCGGCUCUCUGGUCUGUAACUGACGCUGAGGCUCGAAAGCGUGGGGAGCAAACAGG